rnacentral:rRNA from 1 species
CGCGGCCUAUCAGCUUGUUGGUGGGGUAACGGCCUACCAAGGCGACGACGGGUAGCCGGCCUGAGAGGGCGACCGGCCACACUGGGACUGAGACACGGCCCAGACUCCUACGGGAGGCAGCAGUGGGGAAUAUUGCGCAAUGGGCGGAAGCCUGACGCAGCGACGCCGCGUGGGGGAUGAAGGCCUUCGGGUUGUAAACCCCUUUCAGCAGGGACGAAGCGAAAGUGACGGUACCUGCAGAAGAAGCGCCGGCUAACUACGUGCCAGCAGCCGCGGUAACACGUAGGGCGCAAGCGUUGUCCGGAAUUAUUGGGCGUAAAGAGCUCGUAGGCGGUCUGUUGCGUCCGCUGUGAAAACUCGGGGCUUAACCCCGAGCCUGCAGUGGAUACGGGCAGACUAGAGGUAGGUAGGGGAGAAUGGAAUUCCCGGUGUAGCGGUGAAAUGCGCAGAUAUCGGGAGGAACACCGGUGGCGAAGGCGGUUCUCUGGGCCUUACCUGACGCUGAGGAGCGAAAGCGUGGGGAGCGAACAGGAUUAGGUACCCUGGUAGUCCACGCCGUAAACGUUGGGCGCUAGGUGUGGGAUCCUUCCACGGAUUCCGUGCCGCAGCUAACGCAUUAAGCGCCCCGCCUGGGGAG